GAUGAAGAACGUAGUGAAAUGCGAUACGUAAUGUGAAUUGCAGAAUUCAGUGAAUCAUCGAAUCUUUGAACGCACAUUGCGCCCCUUGGUAUUCCGGGGGGCAUGCCUGUUCGAGCGUCAUUAUAACCCCUCAAGCUCAGCUUGGUGUUGGGGCCUGCCAACUGGCAGCCCUUAAAAUCAGUGGCGGCGCCAUCUGGCUCUAAGCGUAGUAAUUUCUCUCGCUAUAGGGUCCCGGUGGAUGCUUGCCAACAACCCCCAAUUUUCUAUGGUUGACCUCGGAUCAGGUAGGGAUACCCGCUGAACUUAAGCAUAUCAAUAAGCGGAGGA
rnacentral:misc_RNA from 1 species